CGAGCAGGGAGCAGCUGCCGUCAGCUCAGCCCCGUGGGUCAGGGCAACAGUGGCACUGGGGACACAGGGAUAUGGAGAAGAGGACAUACGGAUACAGGGAGACAGGGAUAUGGAGAAGGGGACACAGGGACAUGAGGACAGAGCAUGGGAUGGGGCCGCACUGGUUGCCACAUCAGCAGCCACAGGGAAGGGACCCAGCCUGCAGCUGGGAGCCAGAUGGGGUGUGGACGAGCAGGGGCUGUGGUCACCCCGGGGUGUCCCCCAGGCUGGGCACAUCCGAGGGGGACACAGAGCUGAGCUCGAAGCCCCCGAGCACCCCAAAAUGGGCCAAGGAGGGAGGGCUGAGAGGGCUUGAGAAAAGAGGGAUGGAAGGAGGAGGGGAUGGAGGGAGAGGCAGGAGGAAUGCAGUGGCUUGGGGAGAUGCAAGAGGGAUGCAAGGGGACAGGGAGGGGCACACUGCAGAAAGGAGAGGAGCCAGGGCAGGGGUGCCCCCCCCCCAGCAUGGGACCCCUGUUCCUGAGGAGCCCAGGCAUCCAGGCUGGCAGCAGGAGACCUUGGGACCUGUGACACCCCCACACCCCGUGCAGCACCGAGCACUAGAGGACAGACAGAGGCACAGGCCAGGACAGAGCCUCCUCCACACCUCGGGAACUCCCAUCCCAGUAGGGAGACAAUCCAGGGGCGCAGCACCCCACGGCUGUGCCAGCACCCACAGCUCAGUCCCACCACCCAAAGUGGCCCAGCCCACCCCAAAUUGCCCCCGCCGGGGUCACUCAGGCCCCCACCCAGGGCAAGGUCUGCCGUGGGGCAGGGACAGGGCAAAGGGCACCUGGGUGCUGGGUGCUGGGGCACCCAGGUCCAAAGUCCGACGGGUGAGGAGCGUGGCGCGGCAGUGCCAGCAGAUGCCAGGACGCCCGGGUUUGUUGACGGGGGGGCACAGCGGGGGCGAAGGCCGUGGGAACCCCGCAGUGGGUGCCGUGCCCGGGAAGGGUUCCUGGGAUGGCUGAUGGGGAUGAGGGGCUGGAGGAGGCCCCCUGUGCACUGUGGGUCUGCGGACAGUAAGGGGGGGGUCUAUGGGAGGGUCAAGGCACCCCAGGGUGCUGGGGAGGGGUGCCCUGCCAGCCCUCAGCAUGUACCUCUCUGUGCCCCCAGGAUGAUGUUCUUCAUCAUCAUCAUCAUCCUCAUCGCCGUCGUCUUCCUCAUGGUGAUCUUCCACAUCUGCCGCAAGUUGUACCACGACCCCACAACCCCCCCAUCCUACAGGGACCCCCAGGGCCCCAUGUGCCCCCCGCCGGCCCCAAUGCCCGCGCUCCCCAGCCUGCCCGGCGGGACCAUCCCUGUGGGGCUGGAGCCCCCCGCCUACAGCGAGGUGACAGCGAAGCCCUUCCUCUACCCACCCCCCCAAGGGCCGUGCCCCGAAUGCGGCCGUGGGCCUGAGGCUCAGCCCCCCCUCACCACUCAGACUGGCUCGUAGAGGUGACCCCCGCCCGCGGACAGUGCACUGGGGGACACGGAUCCAGGAGUCGGGGUGGUCCCUAGGAGGGCCGCCUGCGUCCGUGUCCCCCCUACCCCGACUCUGUACGCUCCCCCUCAAC